AUCUAGAGCAAAGCUAUCAGAACGGUACUAAAAAGCUAAGACUGGUCCAAUUUCUAGAUGUUAAAAUAGAAGUAUUAUUAAAAUCACAAAUUUAACCCCAGUAUUUAAAAAUAUUGACUUCUUUUAAAAUUAACUUAAUAUUAGCCAUUACUUUAUUAUAAAAUAAACCAUGUAAAAAAAAUGGCUCACUCUCAGCUAAGAGUGAAUAAAGACCUAGAGAUAAAACACCAUUACUGACUGUGCUCAGUCUAGCAGAGGCGGCCCUGUGUAGAAGGAGUAAUUACUAAUCAAUUGAAGACCCAAUGCCACAUGGCCUCAUCGCUAACAGAAGCCAUGCCACAGGUUCUGAUGUGUU